rnacentral:lncRNA from 1 species
AAACGCUCAAGUUGCCUUAUAUUUUGUUUAGCCCAUACAGAAAGAAAAAAUAAAGCACUUGUCCAGCUCACCACUCCCCUGGUGAGAAGAAUGUACAGAAGAAUAUCAUCAUCCAGUGUCAGUGGGCAAACUCGUCCAAGUAUAACUGACCUCCUGGCUCAUAGGCAAAGGUGCUGCUGCCUGAGAAACAGCAUCUGGAGGAGGGGCAACACUGCCCAGCAAAAGCACAAGAACAAACCCCUUCAGCAGCACUGACUGAAGCAGCAGAAUUUGGGAUGGCUUCUGUUUUAUAAUUUGGAAAUGCAGCAGGAGAAAAUGGAAAUCAAUAAUGGUGAAUAUUUCAGAAUCCUGAAAAAAACAUGCUGCAUUUAAUGGAGACUACAUUACACAGGGGUGCAUUUAUCCAUAUUGGUACCUUUUCCCCAUUCUCCUCUGAAAGUCUGCAGCAAUUUUACUUAUUUAAUGAGUUCCAGCAAGCCCCACAUUCAACAUUCAACAUCCAACAUCAGUGAACUGACCCAAAGUCCCUUAAGGAGCACAAGGCUUCCACUGACACCAGCACCCACAGAGGGGUUGAAAGAAGGAGUUAUUUCCAAAGAAACAGGCUGGUGAAAUUGGCACAUUUACAGUGUGAAAUACAGAAGGGCAUCAGAGAGUAGGAUAAACAUACCAGCAAACAGGAAGAAGGACAAAGGUCAUUGCCUAGCAUCUCUGAUAGCACUUUGGCCAGGAAAUAUUAUCAGAUCCUGACCACACAAAACCUGCAUCUGAGCUUAAAGCUUCAUUUAUUGGACAUAUUCACAAGAACCCUGACAACAGAUGAACUCAGAUUUCUACAUCUCUACAGACCCCAGCUCACCACCACCAAUUUGGUUGUGAUCUCAGCAGUUAACAAACAGCGGGAGCUACACAGAACGGUCACAUCAGCAUCUGUAGCUGUUGAGCUACAAUGGGGUGGGGGGAGGACUCAGGGAUAAUUACAGGGUGAAUGAGUUGUAUAAUACAGAGCACAUCCUCAGCAGUAUAUUGUGUCUUGAUUAUCAGCACAGAAGCUAGAGCUGCAUUGAAAUUAUUGUUUGAAGUUCAUUACCUUUAUUCUAACAGACUGAAUGCAAGAGGCAGGGAACAACCAAUCCUGGAGAUGAAAAAAAACAAUUGGUCAGGGGCUUGGAAAGAAUUGUAUUGUCACCAGGCUGGCAGCCAGACAGCUGGUGAUUUCUGUGUAGCACCGUUUCUAAGAAAUAGAAAGGUACAAGUGUCUUUGAACAGGCAAAAUUCCCAUCCUGAGCUCUUCAUUAGAGGGUUUAAUUCUAGGACGCUGCUCAUCUCCAGUUAUCACAAGGGAUCAGGGAAAGCAGAGAAAUCCCUGUGCAGAAGCAGAGAGACAGGCCAUCAGUAGAGCUACAAGUAACAAGCUUGGACUCUGGACAUGGUUUAAGCCACUGCAAUGGAACAAAAGUGUUUCUUCUCUGAAGUCCAACCCACGUACUACUAAAUCUCACAUGCUGCUUGCCUAGACCACAAAACUUGCGUGACUUCAUUGCAUUUAAAUCACACCCAAAUCUGCAGCUUGCAUUGAGUUCUUUGAGUAGGAGUCAGUACAGAAGAGGGAUGCAGCAUUAUUUCAAAUGCUGUUAAAGGACAGGAAUGCUGUAAAGAUUUGUUUAGACCAACCAGCUCAGAAAAGAGAAGUUGCCAUAGCAUAACAGAGUAUAUGUAUUGAAUAAGAACCUGAACUUAUUAUUCAAAACUAGUUGGAAGGUUUUCUUCAAAGCAAUUUGUAAUGGGGGGAAAAUAAUACACCAAAACCAGAUAUUGCAAGAUGAAAAACGUGGC